UUCGCUUCCGUCGCAAAGCAGUAUUUUUUUUUUCUUUUUUUCCAUUCCCCUCCCCCCGUCCCUUAUGAAUCGACGCCACCGCUGGCUGAACCAUCCAUCCUAUUUCAACUUGCCUAUUUAAUGAAAACCAACCUAGCCUGACUGAAUCUAGCUAACGUAAUGUAUUGGAGGUACCGCUGAUGCGUCUUCUUCAGAACAAAUUAACUUUAUCUAACCUAACUAAACUGAUUUAACCAAAGUAAACUAGCCUAACCUGACUUGUAAUGCUGAGAAAUUAAUAUGAAAUUGUUACCUUAUUUCUCUUAAUAGAAUCUGGCUAUACAAUUGAGGAAGCAUCCUGCCUAUUCACACAUCUUCCACAGACUAAUUCAAACUGAGUGCUGAUGGGUGACUUCAAUUUACCAUCUAUUAAUUGGUCUGGUCCUUUUCCAGUUAGUAGCUCUUUAAUCAGUCACUUAUUCAUCAAACUCUUUGUUUCCCUUGGCCUCACACAAUGGGUUAAAUUUCUUACUUUUCUUAGUUCUGGUAAUUUGGUUUUUACUUCCGAGCAUGAUUGUGUAUCUAAACUUGACAGCAUUGUAUAUUUUAGAAAAUUUUUUUACUUUUUAACACCACAUACUUUUAGUGUGGCCAAUUCACUAUUUAGUGUAACAGUUGGUGUGAUCAGAUCAAAGUCAAAAUGAGUGUGUCAGUGGCAGAGGAUGUUGCUCUUGCAUAUUCAGAGUCUCUGUCCACCCCACCAACACGAGGAAUGGGAGGGAACCCAAGACCCAACCCUACCGCCACUGCUGCCCUCCAAUAGGUUGCUGUAGACAUUGGGAGGAAACUGGGAAGCCAUUAUCCUCGCUCUUCAUUUAUCCUCAAAGUGUUCCACUUGUGCAAUAGAAUGCCAUGCUCCACUUUCCCAUCAUCUUUGCUCUAGUCUAGACAGGCCACGUGGACAUUAUUGCUGUCUUCUCUGUAUUGGACAAUGUUGUCACACUGGCUCAGUAGCUAGUGAUAAAUUUGUUGCAGGCUCGGAAUCCAUGUUGAUGACUGAGAUGACAUCCCAGGUGGAGUGAGAUGUGCACUGUUGUACACCACUACCCUUAGUGUGCCUGCCUGCUUGCUGUCACAGCACCCAACACUUACACAUCACCAGUUAGACACGCAGGCCAGACCACGCCAGGCCAGAGUCCAGCAGGCUGCCACCCACCACUGCAGCCAGCUCCUCGUGGCUCCCUGCAGGAAAGCCAUAGCGUUUGUGUUGACAGGCACCACCAUGAGUGUUCUGCAGCAGCAGCAGCUGCAGCAGUCUGUUUUAGGCACACUGCAGUAAGGAGAGUGUUUCUAGCAAGGGAAUGAGCAUACCGUCCUGCACCCAAAAUGGCCAAAAUGGAGAGGCUGGGCAUACUGACACAUGACCACCACAGUAGCAUAACAGCUCUGAGCAGGAGGGUGAUGUACUUACCAUCACCACACUUCUUCAAGGUCUGAGUGGUUUCUCUUGGAGCUAUGGAAGGCAAUGGAGGAGGUGAUAGAAUACCUGAUGGAGAUGUGGGGUCUGCAUGCAACACCUCCUUAUGUUGACACUUGUGGUGACCUCAUGAUGUUUGUUAGCAAGCUGGUGGAGUUACAGGAACAGAGGAAUGAACAAUUGCUGUGCAUCAGCUGCAGCCUCUGGAACAGGCUGCCCCAUGGUAACACUGGCUUGAGGUCACGCCAGGUACUGUAGAGACCAUUGAGGUGGUUGUUGCUGCUGCUGCUCCUCAAAGCUCCUGGCAGGAGAGUGCAAGACUACACCAGCACUCUAUUGGCUAACCUUAGCUGCAAGAGGAUUAAUGUUGGCUCUCUUGACCCUCACCCUGAAAUGUUAUGUGCGAAGCUGGUUGAAAACUUCCAGAGACGCUGCUGCUGCUGCUUGAUCUUGAUGCAACAGGUGGCUCAGAAUUUCUUCUCCUGAGGCAGGCUUAUUAAAGGCAGCUCCUGUAGGGAAGAGAAAAAAAAAUGGCAAAACAUAGAUCUGA